GUGAACUGUCAAAUGUCAUAUAGGCCUCACACAGUUGAAAAUAGUGAAAAAAGUAAUCGGUAGACAGGUCUGCAUCUCGUAAGAUAUCGGAAGCCGUCUGACUUGGCCACAUCGCUCGGAAGUCCGAAGUACUAGAAAAAACCGCCAUCUGCUACCUUAAGACAUUUGUCAAUUUUUGUCUGCAUCUCGUAAGAUAUCGGAAGCCGUCUGACUUGGCCACAUCG